UUUGGGAGAUGAUGCUAAACUUCGCUAUUAGCUUAGGCUCAAGAUCUGAGCUCUGCUGAAUCGAAUCAUUUUGCACGUCAGUCUGAUCCCCAA